GAGGGUAUAGCUCAGUGGUAGAGUGCAUGCUUAGCAUGCGUGAGGCCCUGGGUUCAAUCUAUAGUACCUCA
rnacentral:tRNA from 1 species